rnacentral:misc_RNA from 1 species
GUUAUAUUCGGAAAUAUUUAGCCACUAUUCGCCGCCAAUUUCGGAUUGUUUCAGCGGUCACCCUGCGAUCAACGAUUGCGUUUACAUUGGCGGUGAUCCAGAUUCAAAGAGGAGAACUCAUUGUCAGUUCGUAGUCUACCGCUAGACUGUGGCUAUUGACUCUGUCUCUUCGCAAGUCGUGGCUCCGGGUAUUAUCGCGUUAGGAUUCGCGAAGUGAGUCAGUUGGCGGUAACGAGCCCCCGCGAUAAUCCGACUACCAGCAUCGUCUCGUUAUCUGCAGUGUGUAAUUUGGUCUUCGUCAUAUCGCGAACAGACUGUUAACCGCAGCUGCUUGAUUUCAAACAGGGAUAAAUACAGGAAUCGACCGAAGCGAUGGGUCGCACGAAGAAGAAGGUCUGCAUCGUCGGGAGCGGAAAUUGGGGAUCGGCCAUCGCCAAAAUCGUCGGAGCGAACACCGUCAAGUUCAACACCAAGUUCGAAGAGCGGGUCACGAUGUACGUUUACGAGGAAAUGAUAAACGGGAAGAAACUUACCGAGAUCAUCAACGAGCAGCACGAAAACGUGAAGUACCUUCCGGGCCACAAACUUCCGGAGAACGUGGUCGCCGUUCCCGAUCUCAUCGAGGCAGCGAAGGACGCCGACUUUCUGAUCUUCGUUAUCCCUCAUCAAUUUAUCCGAACCCUGUGCGCGACUCUGCUUGGAAAAAUAAAGCCAACAGCCGUCGGCCUGUCGCUGAUAAAAGGCUUUGAUCAAGGCGAUGGAAAAUCGAUCGAGCUGAUAUCGAAGAUAAUCGAAAACCUGCUAAAAAUACAAUGCUACGUUCUGAUGGGAGCAAAUCUCGCCAACGAAGUUGCAGAGGGGAAAUUUUGCGAGACUACGAUAGGCUGCAAGGAUAAGAGAACCGCGCCUCUUUUGCGAGACAUGAUUCAAACCGAAAAUUUCAGAGUUGUUGUAGUCGAAGAUGCCGACGCCGUCGAAGUCUGCGGUGCUCUCAAGAAUAUCGUUGCCUGCGGUGCGGGUUUCGUCGAUGGUUUGGGCCUCGGCGAUAACACAAAAGCGGCGGUAAUCAGACUGGGACUGAUGGAGAUGGUGAAAUUCGUCGACACUUUUUACGGUGGUUCGAAGCUCUCGACUUUCUUCGAAAGCUGUGGAGUAGCCGAUCUGAUAACGACUUGCUACGGAGGCCGAAAUCGACGCGUCUGCGAGCAGUUCGUAACGAGCGGAAAGACGAUUAAGCAACUCGAAGACGAGCUUCUUGCAGGCCAGAAACUCCAGGGACCAGCAACCGCUGACGAGGUUCACACGAUGCUUGUAAAUCGCGGUGCCACCGACAAGUUUCCGCUCUUCACGGCCGUUCAUCGCAUCUGCAUCGCUGAGCUGAAACCUGCCGAAUUUAUCGACCAAAUUCGAAGCCAUCCCGAGCACGUGUUCGCGCCGAAAGCUCUCUACGUUUACUAGAAGACUUUCAAGCAUUAGGAUCUCGCAGCGUUUCAAGCAAAAUUAUUUGAUUGAUUUUCCGUUUGAAAUUAUUCCUGGUUUUUUUUUUUUUUUGUGUGGUUUGCUUUUGGCUAACUUUCGUUCGUUCACCAUCACGGCGAGUGGUCGACAAUUUGUUACGUAUUAACCACGGAAAAAAUCGGAGCACCGACUAACGCUUGAAAUUAGAUAACUGCAUUAUAGUGUACGAAUGAGACUGGACGGCGUUAUUGAAGACGACGACGAAGGAGCUGCCUAGGAAAUGCGACAGUCCGUCGAUUGCGGCGGCUAGGAUAUAGCUGAUUUAAAAUUAGACACUCAGACGAUCAUCUCUCAAUCCGGGAGGAAGGAACGACGAGACAUCGGCGUUGACGAUCAGAGAGAAACAGAGAAGGAGAUGAAGAGAGAAAGAGAGAAAGAGUGAAUGUGUUAUGGUGUAAAUAUUUGAAAUUCAAUUUGUAUAUAUGUACAUGAUCCAUUUGUUGAACUCGUUAUAUGUAUAUAAAUCUAUAGAUACGUCGUUUAAAU